CCCUUAGAUGUCCUGGGCCGCACGCGUGCUACACUGACGCCUACAGCGAGUACUUCCCAGCCCCGAGAGGUGGCUGGUAAUCAGCAAUAGGCGUCGUGAUGGGGAUAGAUCUUUGGAAUUAUGGAUCUUGAACGAGGAAUGCCUAGUAAGCGCAGGUCAUUGGCCUGCGCUGAUUAAGUCCCUGCCCUUUGUACACACCGCCCGUCGCUCCUACCGAUUUCGAGUGGUCCGGUGAAUCUUUCGGACUGCGCGCGGCCUCGUGCCGUGUCGCGGAAAGUCAGGUAAACCUUAUCACUUAGAGGAAGGAGAAGUCGUAACA
rnacentral:rRNA from 1 species